rnacentral:rRNA from 1 species
UACGAAGGGGGCUAGCGUUGCUCGGAAUGACUGGGCGUAAAGGGCGCGUAGGCGGUUUGUACAGUCAGGUGUGAAAUUCCCGGGCUCAACCUGGGGGCUGCACUUGAUACGUAUGGACUGGAGUGGGGAAGAGGGUCGUGGAAUUCCCAGUGUAGAGGUGAAAUUCGUAGAUAUUGGGAAGAACACCGGUGGCGAAGGCGGCGACCUGGUCCUUGACUGACGCUGAGGCGCGAAAGCGUGGGGAGCGAGCAGG